GUUCUCUUUCCUUCCAGGAUCCCACCUGACCUUUAGUUGUCCUAUCUUUGACACUCCUGCAGGCUGUGAUAGAGCCUUAAAUAACACGGACAUUUUGAAAGAUGGCAGAUCAGGGGCUUAAUCCUGGUAACGUGGUUAAUGUGUGUUGUCCGAGAAACAAAGCUAUAGUGGAGAGGACUCUGUUUUGGAACAGGAAGCAAGAAAAAUAACUACUUGAAGCAUCUCUGAGAGUGAUAAAGUUU